CAAUUAGUUUAGCUCAUGUCUUCAGGGUCAACAAGUCAGACCUGGGCGUUUUCUUGCUAUCUUUGAAUAGUUUUUCUUUGAAAAGCUGAAAACCAAUGUUCAAGGCCCUAAAAUUUCAUGGAUGUUCUUGGUAAACUAUUUGAAUUCACUGUUGAAAAUUAAUAAUUGAUAACGAUAAAGCAGGGGAAAAUUAUAAGUUGCGAAGAAUACUUCGCUACAUCAAAAGGAAGAGACUAAUUAAAAAAAAGGUAUAAAGUUAAUUUUACAAAUCUAGAUUGUUCCAAUAAGAUAUAUGGGGUUUGUUGGAUGAAUUAUUGACAUUUUAUCAAAUGUUUCCUCACUAUCUUUUCAAAAAGAGGCAUCAUGAAUGGAUUUGAGCAUAUAUUGGGUAAUGUGAUCCUAUCAGGUUGGAUUACCAGACAAUGCCCAAUUGGUUACAGCUUGGAAUCCCUAUCCAAAUUCUCAAUGUUGGUCCCAUACAUGACAGUGGCGAUGUAGUCAGCAACCUUUUAGUCCAAUACUACAUAAUCCUUCGAUUUCUUGACAGAUUUUUCAUCUCGCAAGCUG